UCCAUCGUGAGGUGGAAUUUAAAGGAAGCCGGAGGCAAAGUUCCGACUCGAUGAACAAGAACCACAUAUGAGGCUGACUUGAGGCGGACGAGUUUGCAUAACAAAACAAAGUCCAGUGUGAGAGGAUGCUGAAUAAAAUAAUUAUUCAGCUCCUACACGAUUUUAAAAAGCACUAUUU
rnacentral:misc_RNA from 1 species